GACACACGCCCUCUCCCCAUCCUCUCAUCUCUCCCGGCAUCCGCAGUUCUGGGAAUUCGCUCGCGCCGCCGCCCUAGUGCUCCACUCUCAUUGUGUCUCAUUCCCCUUCCUCCCCUGCUACCCUCUCACCUUCUCGUGAAGGCGCACCGCGCACCACUUGCGCGCUCAAGCAGGACACCCAGGCGACGCUCGUUGGCAGAACCUUCCUCAUCCAUGGGGGAUCGGCUUGCUUCAUGCGGGUUCCCACCAGCGCCGCCUCGCUACCAAAGAAAAGCGAUAUCCAGAUAAGCGGGAACAAAUAAGCCCUACACAGCGCGGCGGCGCUGUGCUCAGAUUCCCGUGUCGCUCCGGGACCCCCUUAGCUUCGGCCGUUAGACCGCAGGAGUGAAGCAUCCAUGGCGGAAGAGGCGGCGCAGGAGCAGCCGAGCCCCACAGCGCCCCGCAAGGUCCGCUGUAUCGUCAAGCUAGGUGGAGCUGCGAUCACGAACAAGGGCGAGCUGGAGAGCAUCAACGAGGAGAGCCUGCAGUCGGCGUGCGCACAGCUGCGGCAGGCUAUGUCCGAAUCCAAAGGCGAUGGUGCCCCAGAGAAAGUUCUAGGGAUGGACUGGAGCAAGAGGCAUGGCGAUCCGGCCGACCCAGCUGUGGACGCGGAGUGGAUCUCGGGGAUGGCUGGGCUGGGGCUUGACACCAAUUUCAUAGUCGUCCAUGGCGCCGGGUCUUUUGGCCACUUCCAAGCAAGUAGAUCUGGAGUUCAUAAAGGAGGGCUGCAUUCGACACUUGUGAAGGCUGGCUUUGUCGCUACAAGAAUUUCAGUCACUUCUCUUAACCAGGAGAUCGUUAGAGCCCUGGCAAGAGAAGGAAUACCAUCUGUUGGGAUGUCACCAUUUGCUUGUGGGUGGUCUACCAGUCAAAGAAAGAUUGCAUCAGCUAAUGCUUCUCAAAUAAUUCAGUCACUCCAUACUGGCUUUGUCCCUGUGUUGCAUGGAGAUGCCGUUCUUGACGAAUUGCUGGACUGCACCAUAUUGAGUGGGGAUGUCAUUAUACGGCAUCUUGCACAACUUCUAAGUCCGAAAUAUGUUGUAUUUCUGACAGAUGUCCAUGGAGUAUAUGAUCGCCCUCCAACUGACCCAAAUGCAGUACUUCUGAAGGAGAUAGAGGUGGAUGAUAAAGGAAGCUGGUCUAUUGUAAAACCUGCAUUACUGCAAGGCAACAAUAAAGGAGGUAUGACGUUGUAUUCCUUUUCAUGUAUAUGGUGAUGAGCUAAUGAUCCUAGGCCCUAGCACUGGUGCAGUUGUGCCAUGAUGAUGCUCCAAAGUUGGAUAACUUGGAGAUAUCAGUUGCUGCACAUGACACCACUGGCGGAAUGGAGACCAAAAUACUGGAAGCUGCAAUGAUAGCUAGGCUUGGAAUUGAUGUUUACAUUACAAAGGCUGGAACGGAACACUCGCUAAGGGCUUUAAAGAGGGAUGUGAGCUCGGACUCUGAAGACUGGCUGGGAACCAUUAUACGCUCUUCGAAGUAGAUUUUAUUUAUACAUUCGAUGUUGACUAGUGAAUUUUUGUCGUAGCACUGAUAUAUGAAGCUGGGAGCCCUCUAUUUCUUCCUAAUUGUGAUUACAUACCGGUCAUAUGCGUCAGUUUGAUUGUACAAAUUGAGCUCAGUAACGUUGAUUUGGUUGAUGAAAGUAUCGAUGCAUUGGUUGGAACUUGGAA